GACGAACGCUGGCGGCGUGCUUAGCACAUGCAAGUCGAACGGAAAGGCCCUGCUUUUGUGGGGUGCUCGAGUGGCGAACGGGUGAGUAACACGUGAGUAACCUGCCCUUGACUUUGGGAUAACUUCAGGAAACUGGGGCUAAUACCGGAUAGGAGCUCCUGCUGCAUGGUGGGGGUUGGAAAGUUUCGGCGGUUGGGGAUGGACUCGCGGCUUAUCAGCUUGUUGGUGGGGUAGUGGCUUACCAAGGCUUUGACGGGUAGCCGGCCUGAGAGGGUGACCGGCCACAUUGGGACUGAGAUACGGCCCAGACUCCUACGGGAGGCAGCAGUGGGGAAUAUUGCACAAUGGGCGGAAGCCUGAUGCAGCAACGCCGCGUGCGGGAUGACGGCCUUCGGGUUGUAAACCGCUUUCGCCUGUGACGAAGCGUGAGUGACGGUAAUGGGUAAAGAAGCACCGGCUAUCUACGUG
rnacentral:rRNA from 1 species